rnacentral:rRNA from 1 species
CAGCAGCCACGGUAAUACGUAGGGUGCAAGCGUUAAUCGGAAUUACUGGGCGUAAAGCGUGCGCAGGCGGUUUGUUAAGACAGAUGUGAAAUCCCCGGGCUUAACCUGGGAACUGCAUUUGUGACUGGCGAGCUAGAGUAUGGCAGAGGGGGGUAGAAUUCCACGUGUAGCAGUGAAAUGCGUAGAGAUGUGGAGGAAUACCGAUGGCGAAGGCAGCCCCCUGGGCCGUAACUGACGCUGAGGAGCGAAAGCAUGGGGAGCGAACAGGAUUAGAGACCCCUGUAGUCCCUGUCUCUUAUAA